UGCUGUGCAUGCACUUGGAGAAUUCUUGCAUUCUGGGUGUUGUGCACUCCAUGGAUAUCUCCUUGUGUGUUGUGCACAUCGCAGCUCUUAGUUUAAUCAGAGCAGCUGAAUUGAGGGUAUAGCAGCUGCUUGUGGUGCUCUGCUGCAUAGGGAGCAGUGGCAAUGCCCAGGGCAUCAAGGCAGACUUGUCUUUGGAAGAGAUCUGCAAGUACACAGAGCCCAGCAUAGGCGUGAGGUUGCACAGACAGAGCCCUUUGUUCUGAAGGCUGACAAGCAGAUGGAGACCAGCUCUGACCUCAAGCUCAGGAUGCUCAGGAGUUUCACGAGCACCCAAGGACAAAGGCUGGCAAGUGAUGAAAGGGCUCCUGCUCUCAUUUACUGCACUGGUGUCUGCAGAAUUACGUCUGUGAGGAUGGAGGCUGCUGUCAUCAAUAAGGUAUCAAUAGAGAAUUCCAUCUCCCCUGGGUCCAUCACUUUUGUCUUGCCAUUGAAACAUCCUUCUCCACCAAAGUAGCUCUAAAAGGCAGCCAUUCUCCUGGCACAGCUCCAUCAUGGACCCACUGGCUCUGAUCUCUUGACUCCCCUACCAACCUCAUUAAUCGCUGCUCCAUCAUGGAUGUGACCUGGCAAUUAACCAUUGAGGUCAGGGAUGUUCUUGGAGAAACUGAGGCUCAGAAAAGUUAAGGAGUUCACCAAGUCACAUGUGUACCUCCAGGUGGGUUGAAUCCAACUCUUCCAUGUCUCAGACAGCUGAAAAUGAAGGGGGGGGAAAAAAAGUGAGAAUUUGGGGAUUUUCUCUCAAAACACUUCCAAGAAAAUCCUUUGCAAAUUAUCUUCUGCACAGUACUCAUAUAGACCAGGAUGUCCUGGGCUGGGGAGAAGAAGCCAAGGGCUAAUUUCAGUCACCUUUUCAAAGGAGUGAGAAUUACUGUGAGCAACCAGCUGAUGGGGGAGCAUUUGUUCAGGAGGAUGUGGAUGCUGAGAGCAGGUUGCUCCGGGGGCUGCCUCAUUUGUCCUCUUUUGCAGAGAGAGAAGGCUUGAUACUUCUUGGCAAUUCACAGGAUUGGGCUGCUGAGUAAAUGGGAAAUUCAUUUAGAGAUAUCUAGUAAAUACACGGAAUAAGCUGCCAGCUCUCUUCUUAGAGCCAACAGUUCACUAAUUUUAAUCACCAGCUGGAUAUUUUUAUGGGGAGUGAAGGGACAGAGGGGUAUUAUGACAGAACA
ensembl:lncRNA